CAGGCCAACCACUGUGAAAACUGAUGGGUUCUUUGAAGAUGAGAUUAAGUAUUCGAGGUGGUCCAGUAUUUUGCUGGAAAAGUAAUAGCAAGAACAAAAGAAAGUGUCACAAUUUAGGACACCUCAGGCUUACAGAAGAUUGC